rnacentral:misc_RNA from 1 species
UACCAGGUGUUCAACAUCCAAUGCAUGCUCUUGUUGAGCAUCAGACAUGUGAAAAUCAUACGAAUCAUCAAACUCCGCGAGCAAUGGGAAAUCGAGCCAAGUCUCCGGAUGCAUGGAAAUGUUCCUCACAAACUCCAUGACCUCCUCAGUAACACCAACAGCCCCAACCCCGCCCUCCUCCUCAUCAUCCCCCUCCUCCGAUCCAAACAACGUUGACGCCAUCUUCGAGAUCUCACUCACCGCCUUGUUGCUCGACAGCAACGAGAUCCCG